UAAAAGGGUCGGUUGGCUAUGUAUGCCACGCUCAUUUUUCAAUUGAUGAGUGUUGUAUGGCUAUCAAGACAGAUGACCAACACAAUUUGUGGAAUCAAAUCGGGUUGGCUUGCUCGCUUGACC